rnacentral:rRNA from 1 species
AUGGGGUGGGGCCCCGUCACUUAUGCACGCUGGCCCGGGCGGGGUCAACGCCGUGCGGCUGACCGGUGGGGUCGAGGCGACGCGGGGCCCGGCUGGCCCGGGCGGGGUCAACGCCGUGCGGCUGACCGGUGGGGUCGAGGCACGCGGGGCCCGGCUGACCUGGUUAGCGCCUUCAACCUCGCGCUCGCCCGCGAUGCAGAGGAUAGCCGCGCGCGCCGGCGACGGGCCGGGCAGCUCCGGGCACCUCUGGCCGCGGAAAGACCGCCGGCGGGAUCGGGGAAGGGCGCCGCAUCCAUCUGGCUGGGUCACGGGUGCCGGGGAGGGGUGGAGCACGAGAUAGCCGCGGUGGCAGAGAGCAACGGCGGCGGCAAAGGUUGGGGGCACGCAGCCUGGGGCACUCCAGCGAGAGGGUGA